rnacentral:rRNA from 1 species
CGUAGGCGCAAGCGUUGUCCGGAAUUAUUGGGCGUAAAGAGCUCGUAGGCGGUUUUGUCACGUCGGGUGUGAAAGCCCGGGGCUUAACCCCGGGUCUGCAUUCGAUACGGGCAGACUAGAGUGUGGUAGGGGAGGAUCGGAAUUCCUGGUGUAGCGGUGAAAUGCGCAGAUAUCAGGAGGAACACCGGUGGCGAAGGCGGAUCUCUGGGCCAUUACUGACGCUGAGGAGCGAAAAGCGUGGGGAGCGAACAGGAUU